rnacentral:rRNA from 1 species
GACGAACGCUGGCGGCGCGCUUAACACAUGCAAGUCGAGCGAGAACCCAGGCUUCGGCCUGGGGGAAAGCGGCGAACGGGUGAGUAUCACGUGGGUAAUCUGCCCUCGACAUCGGGAUAGCCCGGGGAAACCCGGAUUAAUACCGAAUGGCCCAUCCGCUCUUCGGAGCGGCUGGGCAAGGCAGCUUCGGCCUCCAGUCGAGGAGGAGCCCGCGGCGAUUAGCUUGUUGGUGAGGUAAUGGCUCACCAAGGCGACGAUCCGUAGCUGGUCUGAGAGGACGAUCAGCCACACUGGGACUGAGACACGGCCCAGACUCCUACGGGAGGCAGCAGUGGGGAAUCUUGCGCAAUGGGCGAAAGCCUGACGCAGCGACGCCGCGUGCGGGAAGAAGGCCUUCGGGUUGUAAACCGCUUUCAGGAGGGACGAAGCCACUCGGGUUAAUAGCCCAGAGGGUGACGGUACCUCCAGAAGAAGCCCCGGCUAACUACGUGCCAGCCGCCGCGGUAAAAC